rnacentral:rRNA from 1 species
CCUACGGGCGGCAGCAGUGGGGAAUAUUGCACAAUGGGGGAAACCCUGAUGCAGCGACGCCGCGUGAGGGAAGAAGGAUCUCGGUAUGUAAAGUCCUAUUAGUAGGGAAGAAAAUGACGGUAUCUAACGAAGAAGCCCCGGCUAACUACGUGCCAGCAGCCGCGGUAAUACGGAGGGGGCAAGCGUUAUUCGGAUUCACUGGGCGUAAAGGGGGCGUAGACGGGAGCGCAAGUCAGAUGUGAAAUCCCGGGGCUUAACCAUAGAACUGCAUUUGAAACUGUUCGGCUAGAGUGCAGGAGGGGUAGGCGGAAUUCUUGGUGUAGCGGUAAAAUGCGUAGAGAUUAGGAGGAACACCCAUGGCGAAGGCGACUUACUGGACUGUAACUGACGUUGAUGCUCGAAAGCGUGGGGAGCAAACAGGAUUAGAUACCCGAGUAGUC